AUAGACAAUAAAGUUGUGUUGUCUUGUGCCACUAAGUCUGUGGUAAUUUGUUAAAGCAGCAAUAGAAAACAAAUACGCCACACACCUCAACUUUCAAGAUUCUGCAUAACUGAGAGGCUGAAAUUAUUCACUCAAGAAACAUCUACUCAGUGCCAGGCACUCUACCUAGGUUAGGGCCCUCGUGGUCUUAAUAUUCUAAUGAAAGUCAGAAAAUAAACAAUAAACAAUAAAUAUUAUGUAGAAGUGAUAAAUAGUAUGUAUUUAGAGGGGAAAAAAAAACAGGAGGAGAGUUAAAUAAGAUGGUCAGUGAGGUUCUCACUGAGAAAAUAAGUAACGUGAAGGAGUGAGAAGGGAAUGCGCCUAGCGUGUUCACUGACAAGUAAAAAGGCCAGUGUGGCUGAGGCAGGGUGAGCCAGAGUGGAGGAGGAAGAGGAGGUCACCAUCUUUGAAUACUAUGGGUUUUGAACAGAGCAGUAAAACGCACUGAUGUAGGUUUUAAAAGAAUCACUCUUGUUGCUACUUUUGAAAAUAAAUCCAGAGUUGGGGAUAACAAGAAUGAAAACAGAGAGCCCUGUGAGAAGGGUGUUGGCAAAACCCAGACAAGAGAUAUUUUUGGCUCAGACCAAAAGGGUAGCUGUGGGAUUGGUAAGAAGUAGUCAGAUUCUAGACAUUGCUGAAAGGUAGGGCCAGUGAGACUUCCUGACAGAAUGGAUGUGGAAAUGCAACUACGAAAUUUUUGGCCUAAUCGAAGGGAGAGUGGAAUAGUCACUAACAAACUGAAACUAGGUGUACAGCAACACUGAAGACAAAGAUCGGGAAUUCAGUUUGGGACAUGGUAAUUUUGAGUCCUGUUAGACAUCUAAGUAGAGGAGAUGAGUGGCAGUUGGAUAUUAAAAUCUGUCCAUCCAGAGGUCUGGGCUAGAGAUACUUGUUUAGGAGCUGACAUUUUAAAUGAUGAAACAAAAGAAGCAUAGGAGAUGGAGGUUGGAUGAGGGAUAUGCAGAGACUUCCCCAUGGGGAUUAGAGGACGAGAAAUGAGGGGUGAUUGAGAGCUGUGAAUUAGAAAUGAUUGCAACAUGUGUAGGAAAAAAAAUAUGUAUAUAUAACCUUAGAAAAUGUUUUCUAGUUGUUGUUUUUUACAUAGAGGGGGCUACUAAUUCUCUACAAGAAAAAAAAACAUUUUUACAUCAAAUCUUUUGGGUUUUUUCUAGUUAACUCUAACAAAAUGCAAUAUAAUGAGUCCACUUAAGUAUCAGUAUUUGCAUUUCUUUUCUUAUGCUUACAGCAGGAAUACCAUUUUCCAGAGCCCCAUAAAUCUCCACACAUUGUAAUUGAACAUACCUAUUUCUUAAGAAGUGAAAAAUCCGUAUGGUGACUUGAAACACGGGUAAUUUUGUGGUUUGGGGAAUGGAAUUCCUAAGUGCAUAUAUUGUAGUCUCUCCUCAUCUGACAGGUUGUUCUAACUCUGCUCUUUUGCUGGAACUGGAUGAUAAGCACUUACUGUUUGACACUUUAUGAAAAUUUUCAUAUAUAUUCUCAUUUAUUCCUCAUAUCAGCCUUAGGAAGAAGAUAAUAUUAUUCUCAUUUAUAGAUGAGAAAACUUAGGCUCAAAGAGGCAAAGCAGUUUACUCAAGAUCAUUGGACUGGACUCAAACUUAGAACCACCAGUUUUUUCCCUACUUCAUUAAGCCGCCUUGAGAUUGGUUGAAGUUGGAAAGCAUCAUGAAGGAAGAAGGAAGCCAAUGAAGACAAGUUGUUGUGUGCCCAGCUCACUAGAACGGGGCUUGCUAACAGUAUCCAUUUCGUCCAAAAGCUCCUCUCUCUCUUACCUCUUAUGUUUUCUAAAGUCUAUACCAUGUGAAUUCCCCAAAGACAAAUUAAAUAGCAAUAUCUUAAGAAAUUGAUUGGAUACAUUUUUCUGAGUAUUGCUGAGAAGGAGCAAGACUACUACUGGAAUUGAGUGGUACCACUAUUGUUAAAAUAAGCUGGCAUGGGGGUGGGUUUCCAACUUGAUUAUUUGCUGCCAUGGAUGAGAAGUUUGACUUUAUGAGGAAGAAGUGUGGGACUACCUAAGAGUACUGGAAAAAAAAAAAAGGGAGGGAGGCUUUGAGGAGCAAAAGGGACAGGACACAGAAAGCUAGUCCUGAUAGUUGGGAAACCAAUAGGUGGAAAGCAUCAAAGGAUGACUCCAGAAGGAGGUGGAGACAUGGAAAUGAUGUUAUCAACAGGUACACAUGUAAGUGAAGAUGAAACAAUAUAUCCAAAAUGACAGCAUCUGAGUAUAUUUAGUUACAUGCUACCAUGUGAAAGACAGGAGAUGUUAGAGUUUGGUGAUGGUGUGACUCGGGAAUAACCAUUAAAGAGAACAACUUGAUCAAAAUGGUCUGGUAGAGGGGGAGCAUUUAGAAACUUGGAGAGUUAGAUUGAGUGUUGUCUGCUUCCUAUCCUAACCCCUACCCUCCAAAUGUGUAGGGUUACAACCAUUCAUGCAAAGAUAGGGCCUGGGGGGAACAGAAUAUUCUAUCAGAGAGAAUAGCAAAUCCCAAAGCAGAAACAAGCUUGGCCUUUGAAGACUGGCAAAAAACAAAACAAAACAAAAAAAACUACUUCUCUGUACCUGGAAUAUAAUGAGCAAAGGAAUAAAUUAUAGGAGAUAAUGGC